rnacentral:rRNA from 1 species
CGAACGAUGAACCCACUUCGGUGGGGGAUUAGUGGCGAACGGGUGAGUAACACGUGGGCAAUCUGCCCUGCACUCUGGGACAAGCCCUGGAAACGGGGUCUAAUACCGGAUACGACCACUUCAGGCAUCUGAUGGUGGUGGAAAGCUCCGGCGGUGCAGGAUGAGCCCGCGGCCUAUCAGCUUGUUGGUGAGGUAACGGCUCACCAAGGCGACGACGGGUAGCCGGCCUGAGAGGGCGACCGGCCACACUGGGACUGAGACACGGCCCAGACUCCUACGGGAGGCAGCAGUGGGGAAUAUUGCACAAUGGGCGAAAGCCUGAUGCAGCGACGCCGCGUGAGGGAUGACGGCCUUCGGGUUGUAAACCUCUUUCAGCAGGGAAGAAGCGAAAGUGACGGUACCUGCAGAAGAAGCGCCGGCUAACUACGUGCCAGCAGCCGCGGUAAUACGUAGGGCGCAAGCGUUGUCCGGAAUUAUUGGGCGUAAAGAGCUCGUAGGCGGCUUGUCGCGUCGGAUGUGAAAGCCCGGGGCUUAACCCCGGGUCUGCAUUCGAUACGGGCAGGCUAGAGUUCGGUAGGGGAGAUCGGAAUUCCUGGUGUAGCGGUGAAAUGCGCAGAUAUCAGGAGGAACACCGGUGGCGAAGGCGGAUCUCUGGGCCGAUACUGACGCUGAGGAGCGAAAGCGUGGGGAGCGAACAGGAUUAGAUACCCUGGUAGUCCACGCCGUAAACGUUGGGAACUAGGUGUGGGCGACAUUCCACGUCGUCCGUGCCGCAGCUAACGCAUUAAGUUCCCCGCCUGGGGAGUAC